AUGAAUGUUUUGAAUAAAAUUUAACAUAAAUAUUUUAGGAUAUGAAGUAAAAAAUAACCAAUCAAUUUAAACGGUUUUUCUGGAUAAUUUUAAAAAUAGUCUUCAAAGACCUAUAUAUAUUUAUAUGUUCAUACUUAAGGUUCCCUUCAAUAAAAACACAAAACAUUUUCUUACUGUGAAGGUUUACAAUGUCGGCGUCGAAAUUUGCUAUAUUAUGUAUUGUUCUCAUUUGUCUUGCUAGUCUUCAUGAAUGUGCCAAUCUGGAAAAAAAGCCCAAAGGAACAUGCUCUAAAACACCAAAGAAUGUUUGGUGUUGCAGUUCCACUACACACUGCCGAAGCACCAAAGCGGAUUGUGAGAAAAUUUGUAUCUGGUAGUAUCUGGGGCCGUUGAAUUUUUCUGAAGAGAAUUUUUAUAAUUAUAUAUUUCAAUUAUUUUCAUACUUCUAUUAUUCAAAAUUUAGAUAAUAAAUAGAAAUUCCCAUUCCACAUGAGCAGGAGCAGCUAGUAUUAUGUACUAAAUGUUUUGGAAUUUCUUUGAAAGAUCAAUAUAUAUAGUUGUCUUUCUCACUUUCUUCAAUUGUAUUUAAAAAGUUUAUAAAUUUUAUACAAAAUGAGAAUAAAACCACUGUAGACUGUUUAACUGAAAUUUAAAUGUUGUAAGUACUUUGUAAAUUAAAUAAAAUAAAGAUAUAUCACUUUAAAAUAUAUUAUAAAUUAAUAUUAAAUGAAUUAAUUAACACAAAAAUUAAUAAUUUUCACAUGUCUCGGACUUGACCGAUUCAAAAUAUAACACACUUUUUAAGAUAAUAAAAUAAUAUACUGUAAAAUAAUCCAUAAGGAUGUGGGUCUUCUCAAAUAUGGUCCCACUAAAAUUUUAUAAUAAACAUUAAUAUAUAAAUUUUGUAUGAAUAUAAACAAAACAUUGUUUUGUUUCCACCAUGAACUCAAUCGCUAAUUAUUCUUAACCAUUCACAACAUUUUUAUAUUUUUUUAUCAUUUUACUUCUAGAAUACAUUUGCAUUAUAUAAUCCAUAUCUUAUAUUCAUCAAAUUAUUUAACAAGAACAAGUUGAAAGCCAAAGUUUAGAUUAAAUAAUAUAUAAGUCAAGAAAAAAAUGAUUUUUUUAAUUGACCUAAAAUAAUUUAUUUAAUAUAUGAAUGAUAAAACUGAUUUUUGCUAAACAAAUAAUAUAUCAUAUUUACACCAUUUCUAGUUACAUAUUUUUUUAUUGUACAAUAACUUAAAAUACAUAACUUGGUGUUUAUGCAUCUGACAGGAAACAAUAUAUUAUUGAUAUGAACAAGGUCAUCGAUGAGAAAGUUUUUUCAUUGAAUUUAAAGAUGAGGCUUAAAUAAUGCUUAUGAUAUUACUGACAUUGUGAUCAUGUUAUAUCUUGGCAAAUUGUCGUUUAUAGCACUAUUAUUAUUAUGUAUUUCUCGCAUAAAAUAUGUCAUUUUGAAAACCAAUAAGUAAUAUAAUGGCUACGUAAGCGUUAGUUCAUAUUAGAUACAUAAUUUUUAUUAUAUUGUAUUUUCUCUUAUGACAGUCCUUACAAUAUUUAGAUUAUUAUAUAUAUUUCUUGCGGAAAUCUAUGUUUGGCAAAUAAUAAAAAGACUUAUUUUUGUUCAUUUAUUUCUAUAUAAAAAUACUUUUUGGUAAAUUAGAACUGUUAUGUAAAUUAGUACCUAGAAUAAUAAUUCACUUCGAACAACAUAUGCCAGACUUUCAUAAAAUAUGUAUAGAUAAAUCUAUUAAGAAUCGAAGACUAUAUUUUUUCAUCUAAAAUAAGUUAGUAAAAAAAUAUAUAGUAGCUAACUCUUUGAUAAUUUAAUUUGGCCACAUAUUUAAUCUUUCAAAGUUACUCAUAUAUAUAUGGCCGUCAUUAUUGGGUACUUUUAGGUGGUGAUAUAUCCUAUCAAAAAAUUAAAUGAAAAUUUUGGAACUUUUUAACAUAAAUAGAUUAGAAUAUAAGGAGAAUAAAAGUUACCAAUAAUUAUACUUUCAUAUUCUUCGGAUUAUCAUGCGACAAUUUUUCAGGGACAUAUAUACAUGUUCACAUUUAAGGAUAUUGAUGAGAAAUUAGUAAAUGCUAAAAUUGGUAGCUAGCUAGUUGAUUUUAUCCACAUAUUUAACCAUUCAAAGCUACACUAUAUAUAUAUAUAUGGUUGUCGUUAAUCGGUAUUUUUAGGUGCUGACUUACUGUAUCAAAAACGAAAAUGAAUUUUUUGAAUAAAAUUUAACAUAAAUAUUUUAGGAUAUGAAGUAAGAAAAUAACCAAUCAAUUUAAAACAGUUUUUCUGGAUAAUUCUAAAAAUAGUCUUCAAUGUUCAUAUUUAAGGUUCCCUACAAUAAACACACAAAACAUUUUUUUACUGUGAAGGUUUACAAUGUCGGGGUCAAAAUUUGCUAUAUUUUGUAUUGUUCUCAUUUGUCUUGCUAGUCUUCAUGAAUGUGCCAAUCUGGAAAAAAAGCCCAAAGGAACAUGCUCUAAAACACCAAAGAAUGUUUGGUGUUGCUGUUCUACUACACACUGCCGAAGCACCAAGGCGGAUUGUGAGAAGAUGUGUAUCUGUUCCACUACACAUUGCCGAAGCACCAAAGCGGAUUGUGAGAAGACUUGUAUUUGCUAGUAUUUGGGGCCGUUGAAUUUUUUUCUGAAGAGAAUUUCUAUAAUUAUAUAUUCCAAUUAUUUUCAUUCUUCUAUUAUUCAAAAUUUAUAUAAUAAAUAGAAAUUCUCAUUCCACAUGAGCAGGAGCAGCUAGUAUCAUGUACCAAAUGUUUUGGAAUUUCUUUGAAAGAUCAAUAUAUAUAGUUGUCUUUCUCACUUUCUUCAAUUGUAUUCAAGAAGUUUAUAAAUUUUAUACAAAAUCAGAA